AAAUCUUCAAUUUUCAAGAAUUGAAUUUUCAAUGAGACUUUUGUGAUAUACUGCAUGCCAACUUAAACUAAUUUAAUCCUAAACCUAACCUUUAUAGCUUACUUUAUCAUAUAUCACUUAUCUAUCACAGGAAUAGCGAAUGUAACAACAAAAAAGCUCUUCUCUCAAGACUUUUCAUUUACAUUGUAGACAAUUUAGAUAUCCUUGACACCUGAUGCUUCUUUCCUCUGAAAGCAUAUUGUAUUAUCGCUCCCAUCUCAAUUCAUCUCAUCACACCCUGCGUCUGUGUGGACAAUGUCGGCGCUCAUGCCCACAGGGAUGUUUGUCAUUUUGAUAGCAGGUGGGAUAAGAAGCGUAGUCAGGCAGAGACAAAAACAGCUACAAAACCACAAAGGUUUAAAAGAAAUGGAACGAAAGUCUCCUUCAUUUCUUCCGAGAUUUCAAUAACAAUGUCAUUGAAUGCAGCUUAGGACAGAUGCCCUUAUUAAUUUGAUUUAUCUGUCCUCUACUCAGCUCUUUUUCGUCUGAAGUUAUCAGCUGCAAGGGCAAUAGUGUUAUUCAAGUACCUCCACAAUCUGUAGCUCAAUAGAGAAAAAGGGGCAUUUUCGUCCUUUUGUUUGUAGCUCUGUUAGUGAAAGAAAUCCAGUCCCCUGAGCUCCAAGCAAAGAAUGAAUGUCCAGAGGUUACAGAAGUAAUCAACUUCCAUUCCAUGAGGGAGGAACAAUAAUACCACUUUAAGGCGACGCCAACGCCGGUUUCCUCUUCUGUUAUAACAAUUUUGAAUAAUACGGUUGUCGGAAUUUUCUGGUAUGUUUUUCCCGCCCGACCAAUGUUUAUUUCCUCGCGGCUUCAUCUUCUUUUAUACGUGACACUAAUUUCCAAUAUCGCAGAAUUUCAUUUUUCACACCCAGACUAAAAAAGCAGCCGGCCCCUUUCAACAAAUACGCUCAAACAAGCUCUUCAAUGCGAAAACAUUACAGCUUUGUUUCAACACAGAGGAGGGCGAGUGUUGCCAGCGAGAGCUUAAAAUGGCUGCCGAAAGUCGGAAUACUGGAGCUGAACCAAGCCCAGCAGACGGUGGACUGGCUUGCGGGUUGGAUGGCUCGGUUCGAAGACAGCAGCUUGUUAGGGUGGAAAUGGAUUAGCGAGAGGCACAAUGGGAGUCUUAGGCGUGUCUGCGGUGUUGUGUUAAAGCCCUGCCUACGUUGCCCGGGCUGCUAGACUCAUUUAUGCCCAGCGGUGCAUGCAGCAGCCAACUCUCUCACACACACACACACACACACACACACACACACGCACACACACACACACACACACACACACACACAGGGCUUUUCUAAUUGCCAUGGUUUCUCCUGCACUUUCAGCGGCAGCCUGCGAUUCGGCUUCCAUCAAAGGAGUGAGCAGACCCACGAAGCCCCACAAUUGUUUUUCACGCACACUAUUGUGUUACGAUGUGGGAGACGCGGCAGUGAGUUUUACAGUUGGGUGGAGAGUUCAUUGUCCCACUUAUACCUUCAGAUAUAAAUUCAUCAGAUCUUUUUUUUUUUAAAAGGUGACCUGCCUCCAGUAUAAGAGCUAUUAACAGAGGUUGUUGUACUUGUAGCCUGAUAAAUGGUGGCAUGAAUACUAGUGGUUUAGUCGGGGCCAAACUGUAACGUUGCCUUAGACCCAGUUUACACGAUGGGAAAACGCAUGUUAUUUCAUGCGUUUUGGCCUUUCAUUUACACAAAAACUGAGGUUUUAUCACAGAAAACGAUCAUUUCUAAAAACCCCGGCCAAAGUGGAGAUUUCUGAAAACUCUGUUUUUGUGUUUGCGUGUGAACUAGGUCAAACAGAGUUUUAGGUUGUCAAACGUCACAGUAUGCGACUAAAAAUGCUUCACGUCAUGUGUUUAGGUUGGUUUGAUCGUGUUUUUCGUAGUUGUUGUUGGUUUUGAGAAUUCUGAUUGGUUUGCAUGUCUUUAUCCUUCUCGUUACACUGCCGACUACAGGUUUGGCAUAGUUAUGAUGGCGCCCGGGGCCGUAUUUAUGCGGGUUCAUAUAAACAGAAACUUUUUUGAAAACAAUCUUGUGUGGACGAUGUUAUUUUUGAAAAAGGAGGGGCAGAAAUAGUCGUUUCUGUAAAUACCCGGCUAUGUGUAAAUGUGGCCUUAGUGUGGCGAUCAGGCACUCCACAGGCCUGCUGGCUGGCUGGAGUUGGGUUGUCAGGCAGAUUCAGCUCACCUGGUCUGUACUCUAUAAGCCGGUGACAGUCAGUGCUACACUUUUUGGUUUUGGUAUGUUUAGGUUUCCGUUGUCUGCCCCCGAGCCCGGAUGUGACAAUGAUAACGUGCUAUUCUAAGCGGCGUUGGCUCACUCCACCACUGUUCGGAAGUACAACUGUACAGCCUGAUCUCCAAAACUUCUCCAAAAAUGUAUACCAAAAUCUUGAACAUACAAAUUUGUAGUGAUACAUACUAAAUAAAUACGGACUGCAACUGAUGACGUCACCCUAUUCAAAGUGAAUGGGGACCUGCACCCCGUUAACACACUUCGCAAAGUCUAACGAUGUAAAAUAAACGUGUUAUGAUUGCAUUUUUAAUGAGAAAUCAAUGUUAAAUUGUAAGAAUACAAUACUAACCCUAACCCCCUCAAAAAAUGCAACAUGGCGGAGAGACGUGUUGUUCACUCAAGGGGCGUGGUUAACCACCGCCAGUUCGUAUGUAUUGUUACGAAUUUGUAUGUUCAAGAUUUUUGUAUACAUUUUUACAAACAGGUUUUGGAGAUCACGUUGAACUGUAAGAAUUGCCUAAUGCACGUAUUAUAUUGUAUAAAUUCAUGACUUGUUACUCUGUUGCCAACUAUAAUGAUCCAUCUUUUUCUUCAAUGUUGAUACAAAGGGAAAAGGAUUCGUGGUGGUAAUUUAAGUUUACGGCUCACUGUGGAGUGAACUACCGACUAGUGGAAUGAUGACAGGAAAGACGGGAGAGAAGGACAUGUCACAGCAGGAGAAGCACAGGUGUAUAUAAUCUUUGGCGCUCCAAUAGAGCCAAGCGAUCGUUAAUGUUAUUAGUAACACCCGUACUACAUCUCCAGUGAAAACGAUUGCUGAAUGAAAAGGUCUAUUCACACAUCACAUUCCCUCCUUUAAAGCAAUUAACACAGGCAGCGUGUCAGAAAACGAAGAGCACCGGGAGGCAAACUCCACACAGAAAGUUGAUCAAAGGAGAAUCCAAAGAGACAGACAACAGAGUGGAGGCAUUGUGUGACUGACAGGUGAACACUGGGAAGCACAACAGUGAAAAGACUCCACAACAAAGACAUUGCAACAAAGAAAAAGGUUGGAUGUUGCUUACUGGUCCUAAAAAUACACCCCAGUCGUUUUUUCAAUGCCCUAAAAUGUCUUCAGUAGUUGUAUGUUAAAUGUCUUAAUUGUGAAGAUUUCUCAACAAAUCGUUUCCAUAUAUUACACAUUCGUAUGUGCGAUAGAGCCCUCCCCACCGGACGAUAAAAACAGCUUUCAUCUGGCUGUUCUCUGGUUGGCAUCCAUUCCCUGCGCAAAUCACUUUUCCAUUGAAGGCCUCUCAGGUGGUUCUGCAUAUCAAACCAUCUGGAUCUUCAUGUAAGCGUCACACUGCAUCGUGCUGAAAAACGGGCAAAAAUCAAGGUAUCCCCCCUCUGGGUGUCAUGUUUUCAGUUUAGAAAAGAUGGGUACUUUAGAAGAAAUAAUUGGCGGUUCAUUGGAUGAACCACCUGUCAGUUAAACUCUUGCCAGACUGGAGAAAAGAUGGCAUUGCUGUUCUUAUCCCUCUUUUCACUAAAUAACUCCGUUGUGGGUGUAAGCGAUGCUAUUGCAGCUUUUGUGUAGCCCCUAUUGGUGUCAUAGCUAGUUAGACAACAGUUGUCUCUCCUACUCACAAUAAGGAAAAGGGUAAAGUCUAAAUAGCUUUCGGUAGAUGCAGAAUCUCACACUGGCCCAUUUUGUUUUCUACAACCCGCCAUUGUGUGUGUGUGUGUGGUAUCGGCUCUAUGUGUGUGGGGUCUGGGUAAAUAAGGAUUGACGGGCCCCUAAUGCCCUUUGCAGCAAAUAAAUGGAUAAUUGAGAAUCCUGUUGUGACGCCCCCCUCCCUUCCCCCCCCCAACCUCCCCAUCAUGUGUAUGAGACGAGACGCCAUCUGAGCACUCGGAUGACGCAGCCAGAGAUUGAUUGUGCGCGUGUGUGUGAGAGUAUGACAGAAAGAUAAAUUUCAUCUCUGGCUCUCCUUGUAUCAGUCACACUAUUUACAUAUUCAUUUCUCAUGUCAUAAUAAAGUGACAGUGGUGUUGUUCUGUUGCUGCCUCCAAGGUGUCAGUCCUGGAUUUGUGCUUUUUGCUCCUUCGGUGGACCACUGAAGAAAAGGCAGGGACACACGCCGUGACAUUUGAAAUCAAACUUUCCACAUUUUGUCAUCACUGAUCUCUUACCCACUCAAAGAGAUUGAUAUGUUGUGUGGGUACACACUCCGACAGCUGCCACUAAUACUGUUUUUAUCACUGCUAAUUUAACUGAUUAUUUUUAAACAAUAACUUUUUACGCUAGUCAGAAGAAAUUCAAGGAUUUGAUUGGUGUGUGUGAGCAUCGCUACAUUGGAAAAGGUGCUUUAUGUGUAAUCCAGAUUCUGAACACAGAUUUUUGGAUGCAAUUCAGAAGAAUACACAAGGAAUAAAGAAUAUAAAUGCAAUAAUGACUAUUGUAACACCUGAUUCAUUUUAAGCCUACCUGCCGCAGUCACCUUUUUAAGUUUUAUACAGUUGUCAGGAAACGGAUAGAAAAAGAAAUUCCUCCAUGGCGACACAGCCAAUACUGACAGUGAGAUUAAACCAUUUGCAGUUGUUAGAUGAAAAACAGACGUUUCGAAAUCAGGGAAAAGGAUGUUUACCUUCUCUACCCGGUGCUCAUGAACGAUAUAAAAGUGCAAUGAAAUAAAAGCCAGGCGCAGGAGAUAGACAACUGGGCCAGUCACGUCUGUCCGCGAUGCACUUAUCAGGUGGGGAUUUUCUGGAAGUGUCAGUCGGUAUAGAAGCCUUCAAGGCUCUCGGGGGGAAAGGGGAUGCUGCGGUGGUGACAGGGCUAUCUGCCUCUGACAGCCCGAAGACCUAAAACCGGAUGGCUGGGAGAGAUAAGGCUCUGUCGGCCUUGGACACACGCAAACAAACAGGACCCAAACACACACACACACAUACACACACACACACAUACAGAUGAACACACAAACACACAGCCAAACACUGGCAUUCACUUUGCAUUAGCAAUUUCCCUAUUGCCUGACCACUCGCUCAUUCAUUCACUCAUGUGCAUUGACUCACACACACGCACACACCCAUAAGCACACACAUGCUGGCUCCCUGUCUGCCAGCUAGCGAGGCUUUCCAUUAGCUUUGGUGCAGUGUGCCGGGUGAGGAGCGCUGGGGCGAGAGACAUCAAUUUGCUUCCUCUAAUGCGCUCGCUGCCCCCACAAGACAUAUUGAUUAUUUCUUCCCCGCAAAGCGACAAAUAGCAAUUUCGGGGGCAUAAUGGAGAUAGAUGGUUGGUUUACAAGAAGCCCCCGAAGAAAAGUUGUAAGGGGAUGGAGGGCUGAAGGGGAAGGCAGGGGAAUGGGGAUGCUCCCUCUACCCCCCCCCCCCCCUCCCGCCCCCCAGGUCUCUUUCUCUUGAGAUUUCGACUUUACCCACCUCCACCCUUUUGAAUGUCACCAAACUGCAGUUCAUAACCAAAACGGAAUAAAAACGAGUACAAAUGAAGCAGCAGGGUGUGGAUGACAAAAAAAAAAGAAAAAGAAAUGUCGCGAGAGAUGAGAGUUUCUAACGUGGGGGUGAAGGUACGGCACGGCUUUCAGGCACACCACCAAUGCGCAUUGAUGAUGUGCCUCCUCCCAGCCUCACCUCCUCCCGUCUCAAUGGUUGUGCUGCAGAGAGCAGCUGCUGCCGCAGUGUUUGCUCUGCCUCGCCCUCCGUUACCUCUUCCUCGUAUCUCCCUUGUUAGCAUCAGUGCGACUGAUCCGCAGGUUGCUCCCGUGGCGAGAUCAUGAAUAUUUGAUUCUCAGUGUGUUGCAGGGGGAGUUUUUUGGUAGUUUUUAGGUUUGGGCUUGAAUAUCUCGAUUGUUUUCGACGCCUAAAGUAAAAGAUGUUGUCUUUAAUGGUCCACAGCCCUUUCUGACUGCAUUAUUUAAAGUAGAAUAAUUCUUGAAAUGAAAAGUCACACACUGCUGUCAUGUUGACGGCUGCUUUUAAAUCUUAAAACAGCUGAGACCUAUGGAUUUAAGAAAAGCAGACAUCAGUGUCAUCAUGUAGAGCUCACAAGAGAAUCUGAAUAAAUUGUAAAAUAUAUGUUGUUGACAUUCAAGUUGAGCUUUCAGUCCUUGCAUCCAUAUGUGCCUACAUUCAUUUCCAGAAGUGUUCAUGUCCCUUUAUCCAACCUGCUGUUCUCUAAAGUGUUCACACUGUUAUAUCACUGAGUUGUGGUAGCUGAUAGCUGCCAGCAGUAGAAGUCGGCGGUCGGAGGUAAUACAUGUGUGCGGCUCAUCACGUGAUCGACUAAUGGGAAAUGGGACAACUUUUCCUUUCCAAAGAUGAUGUCUGCUUGUGAUAACUCUUGUAAAAUAAAUUGACUUUUUCCGAUUGUUAGGAACUGUUCUGACGUGGCACAGACAGACUUGCGCAAGGCUUUCUAAUAAAUGGGCUUCAGCACAGAGAUGCCCUGAGUCUGAUAUGAGCCUCGGUUAUGGGAACAGAUGGUCUAAGUUAAGGCGCACACACUGGGGUAAGUAAGUAGAUGUGUGGAUGAUGUCACAGGGUGAAAAACUUAUUUCGAAUAAGCAUUGGCACAGUAUGUUGAUUAUAAAAGUUAUAAAACAACUACAAUCUGCCAAUCAAUCCUGACCACAUGUUCCACAGGGACGUCCAAUCACAAGAAAACAAGCAACACCAGCGACUCUGUCCGACUGUACGGGGUGAACAGCAGAAACUUGACCAUAUUGCAACACGGUGAUGUUUGGUUGAGGUCAGUUACAUUAUUCAGACCAUAAUUAUGAGCAGCGGCGGGAGAAAAACUUUCCACGUCAGCAUGUGAAAGUAGCGAAACGUUGUUAAAGCUACAUUUCCAUGACAACAAGUGAGCACGAUGAUACGCAGACAGCGAAUUCCUAUGAGAGGGUUUGCAUCUGAACCUGCAGCACACUCAUUGUUUAGUUGUGCGUCUUCCAACUAUUGGUUGUUUUCUGCCAUAGCAGGCAGCCGUUUUCAGCACUUCACACUACAUGCUCAGCACCCAACACCAGGCGGACAACAUUAGCAGCCAGGUGAUGAACGUAGUGGAGCAUGCAGCUGCAUCCUCAGGACUCGGCGGGGACCAAAAUGACUGCGACACUUGAAUUCAAAAGAGCCAUUGCUAAUUUUAUGAAUGAGACUGUUCUUCACCAACUAUGACGAGUUACAUUGUCUCCUGAAAAACUGACAAAAGAAAACAAACGAUGCUUUCAGAAUGACGCUCUGAAUAGUUUUAACAUUGAGCGGAAAAGAAACACGCCUGAACAACACGUAUGGGUAAUCGUUGAUUCAUCAUCUGAUUGUAGACGCACGGAUAUUGAGCCAAAGAACUGAAGAUUGACAUUAACCUUGAUGUUUUCAGAUAUCUGCUAACUUGUCAAAUAUUUGUCUCUCAUUAUUUUCUAUUUGACACACGGUAAAAAAAAUGUGUUGACGCAUUGCUAUUGCAGGGACUUUGAAUACGGUCACCAGAAUGUUGUGCUCUCUAAAUGUGGGAAAUUUGCUCAGCCUCACUUUAUCACAGUUCCUCCUUAAAUAUUGAAUGUGCAUUCUUUUAUCCCACCUUUAAACAACUGGCGUUUAAAGCUCAAUCAUUAAUUAUUCAGGGUUUUUGAGAACUUGGUUUGAGUGGAGAUGUUGCUUUCCUGUUCUGGAUGAUGUAGACGAGAGUGAAGAGCAUGUGUGAGAGCUCUUGCACAAUUUUUAAUAGUUCAUAUUCCUCAUAGAUUAGAUAACAACUUGUGUGAUUUAAAGGCCUAAAAUUUAAGUUACAUGACCUUUUUAAGUAAAGGCAUUGCAUCCAAAUGAAAAAGGCAAUUUUAGUGCAAUAGUAGUAUUUAUAUUAUAUAUUUAUGGACCUCAUGAAUUUGAAUGAAUCCAGCAUGACAGGCCAUUUAGUUUAUUUUAGCGAUAACAGAUCACAGCUUUAAUUGCAUGCAACAAGCCUGCUGUGGGCCAUUAACCACAAUAGAUUAUUUGUUAGUUUGAAGGAUUGUAAAAACUUUGACCAUUCCAGCUGCUUUUAUACCCCCCACUGGCAGCCAGUAUCAAUUUAGAGUCUUAAAUGAAGGUAAUGUAGCCAUUGCAAAGUGUAAGAGCAGCAACUUCUUGGUCCGCAUGUAAACCGACAACCUUAACAAAUGGAAUUUUUAAACACCCGGCCAAUCCUCAGCAGACUAAUAACGCCUCCUUCCCCAGAGAUGCAGCAGACCUAAAUUAAAGGAAGCAGCCCCGACAGACAGAAGUGACAUUGAACCUCAUGCAAAACGAGCUUAUUAUCUCUGUUACUGCCAAUGCAGCGCGGCCAAGCUGUCAGUGAUCACAACAGACAUGUUCUAUGCGACAGCGCUAUUAAAGGAAGGCGCACCUGAUAAAAGGAAUGAUCCACAGAUGUGAUGAAAACAGACAGCUGAGAUGGAGUGGAUCGAGCGCACCGGUGGAGGCGGAGGUUGAGGGCUGAGGAGGUGUUGCAUGGUUGGUAUUGAGAAAAUGGGUAAGGGUUGGAAGUGAAGUGAUGCUGUGGAGUUGGGAAGAAGGGGGCAGGAAGGACAGGAGACGAAACAAUGGGGACUCAGUGUGGAAACAGCAAGAGAAAUGGACGAGUUGUGGUAUUAAGAGGGAAAGGGUGAAGGGAUUGUGGGACGGAGGAGGGAGAGGUGUUACAGGAGUCAGGGCGCUGGCUAUUAUCCUGCAUCGAUUUACUCCAGUCAGGGAUGGCUGGACAGGUAAUGAAGUGUGGGAUCUAGGGGUUUGCAGCACGCGCUUGUCUGGGCCUUAUAGCUUCGUGGAUGUAUUGUGGGGUGAUGUGUCGUGUGUGUGUGUGUGUGUGUUACAUGCAAAUGGUAAGGUCUAAUCUGCUGUGGUUAAACAAAAAACGAGGUCUUUGUCAGAUGCUUUGUUUGAAUGCGUAAUUGAUUGACCACGCGAAACAUCCAGACACAACCUACCUGGAUGGAUUACAGUAUUUACAAACCCUAUGACCUUGGAAUUAAACGUAUUCAUAAUAGUUUUGCAACCUGUUCUUUUAUCUUUUCCUCAAAGAACAUUUCUGAAUUGAAUUUAAAUGACACAUAUUAAUAAGAAAAGCCCCAAAGUCCUGUUUUAUAUUCAAAUCAAACACUUUAAUACCACUCACUAAUUUAAAUUUGGAGUAUCAGGUUGCAUGGGCCAGGAAAAAAGCUGUCAUUCAGUAGUCAGGUACAGCAUUAAGGGGGAUUAAUUUGUAUUCAUUAUCUUCCCACAGCUGAGACGUAUCAGAUUGUAGGCGGUUUUAAUUUAAAGUUGAAUAACCUCAAAGGUAUUAUUCGACAUCAAGGUAGUAGUGUUACAGCUAAAAAAUCCAAUGAAGUGAUUAUGUGAACAAUUGAUUUUCUGUUUUUAACCAGCGAAAGAAUAAGAAUCAUGCAGAAAUUUGAGAUGGGACAGGAAGCAGAUUGCAAAGAGCAGGAAAAAAAAUUAUACCUGACAAAAGGCAAAAAGUGGCUAAAUGAAAAGGCCACUUUUUCGUGCUUGUCAUUCUCUUGAGCCUCCUUUUUAUAAGUCAGUCCAUUUUCCGUUGUUUGCACAAUAUACGCUUUCCUCUUGAGGGGAACAAAUCAGAGCAAGAAGCGUGCAAUGCACACAAAAUGAAUAUAAAAAAUCCUCUUGGGGUUUUGUUUUUAACAUAAAAAGUUUCUUAGAAAAAAAGGAAUGUUUUGUAAAUGCAAAACAGGAGUUUCAUCAGGUGCAAGUAGCAGAGGGGGAAAUCAAUGCUGUAGCUGUGAAACAAGAAAUGAGUUGUCCCUUUCCUUUCUUUCACUUUGUACAUCCCUCACGUUCGCUCUCCCUCUGCAUCGCCUCUUCCUUGAUUUUCCCUCCCCCGGAGCCCCGCACUUCCUCUCCCAGUCUAAUCCGCUGCUCGACAUGCUCCCUUCUUUGUUCUGCGACCCUGACAAGUUGUCUCGUUCCCUCGCUCCCAGGACAACCCCCGGUGUGCUGGGGAUAAUGGAAUGAAUGCCGGAAUGAUAAACCCCCCGAGGAUGCCGAGAGAGGAAACACAGGAGUGUGUCAACCGGGGAUGAUAACACUCUGUUCUCCCGUGCAUCUGUCCAAGGAGCAGGGAUUACAGUUUUACAGGCAGGCUUUGCCGAUUCGCAGACCCUUUUUGCGGGCUGAGAUGUUAACACCAAAAGGCCUUGUUGGUGUCAGGGGGCAGCAGGGGAACAUUGUCUCUUCUGUGUCGCACCAAGGUCUUCAUUAGUUUUGGGCAUUGCUUCGCGUUGUGCAAUCCUAUCCUGGUGGACAGGUCAUUUUAAAUCACCCUACAGAAGCUCGCUGCACUCCCAGGACAGAAGAAAUCCUGAGGAAAUGCCACUCUGUUCGAGGCGGGAGUCUAAUUUGUUUUGUCUUGUAACUCAAAGGUGUUGCUCAAGAUUACAUUACAGCCAGACACUCGGAUUGGCAAAUGUCAACCAAACGUAUGAAAAACACAAGCAACCAUUAUAUUAUUAUUAGAAAAGUAAGCCUUAUUCAGCUUAUUACUGCCCAAAAGCUCCUUUGUUGUCCAAAAACAAAUCAUUGAAACACUACAUUUUCACAUGCUGACAUUUUCCUGAGCACUUUAGUUUAUUUUUUUGUUUAGGGUUGUCGAACACACUUUUGCUGUAAAUACACACUAUAUCUCCAAAUAUUUAUCACUCUUCAGCAAACAUCAUCACAUCCAACAUAUUCACCAAUUGCUAAAAACAUUUGCUAAGAACUACAGUGCUGCAUUGAGAUUCAAUACCUCCCAAUUCUAUAGGAUCCUAGAUAUGUAAAAACAAGCUGAAUUGUAUUUGAAGUUAUGGUUUAUGAGUUUUGAACAAGAGUAUAUACAUAUCUGAUGCUGUGAACCUUAAAUUGAAGACUUUUUUACACGAUAUUUCAAAUAGCGUCUUACAUCCAAACAGAAACUUUAAAGAACCAAAUUGCGCUAAAGGUGACUGGCCUUCUCAUAUGUUUUGUCUUUUUUUUAAUCAAAACUGGCUUGUGCUGACUGUCCAGUUACUACUUUCAUAUUCACGAGUUGUGGUUUCACACUUUCUGUUUUCACACCUGGGAUCUGUGCCUCCAUUGGGAUUUCCCACCGUAAUUGUUGGUGAAGAGUUGAGCUGUCUGAAUAAUCAUUCUCUUGUCUGCUGAUUCUGAUUGGAAUGAAGUCUAGUUUGCAUGUUAUAUUUCCACCACUGAAGAGAAAAUAUUGAAUCUUAAUCUCUGUAGCUCUGGUCGUCCUGGUCAUUUUCUGACAUGAAAUCUGACUUUUAGGACGUUGAGACAGUGAGGCGAGGAAUCAAUAAAAACUGAUUCGCAAGCCUUUGUUGUCGCUGGAAAAUAAUAAUCAAAGCCCCAAGUUCUUGGUAAAGUUUGAGAUGAAAUGCCAUCUCUUACAAACGGGCUGUCUAGUGGUAUUACGCUGCAGUCCAACUAAUCUUGACCCCAAUCUCCCAGAUAUCCAGGCAAGGAAGUUGGACACGUUCCCCUUCCUCGAUUCAACCUGUCUCAUAUACCCUUUGGACUUCUCAACCCAUUUAACAAUCAAACCAUUCUUUAAACUGACCUUGAGCACAAAAAAAGGAAAAAAGAAUGUGGAGAUGAGAGGCUCAUAAAGAAAACCUCCCAUCCUAAAAAUAGAAAAGGUGGCAAUUAAGUGCCAAUCUAAUCAUCCCCCGGUUAAACGAGCCCUGAAGAUUUUGCCCUCACAUCCCCAAGGCUUUUUUUUUCCACACCACUUCCUCAUCAUCGCCGGCUAUCGGCUUAAUUACGCCCCCGCCGUCCCCAGAUAAGAGAGUGAUAGCCUUAUCACCACGGCUCAUUUCCAAAUCCAUGAAAUUAAUAAAGUCUACUUCCCGUCUCAGUGCUGCGGCCAGACUUCUACCAGCAGUCACGUACGAGAAGUCUGAAGUAAUACUUUGCCUGUUCUUACAGUUGGCAAGAAAAAAUCUAGAGGGAAUCAUCCUCCAGGAGAGUAAAGACAAAGAGGGGAAGGGGUUUUUUGUAUUUUAGGCCGGUGAUAUUUGGGCUGUAGUUUUUCUCUCUGAUGAGGCUUUUGUCUGUGAGUUAGCUUAAACAUUCUUCUGGCUUCAUUUAUCAUUCGCACAGUAGCUGGAUUGUCCAUUUGCGUCAGUUGACUACCUAAUUGUCCCUAAUCUCCCCCUCGGGAGAACUGCUAAAUUGCAGUUUUGUGUGUGAAAUAUCAAUUAGUAGCAAUAUGUUGGAAUAAAAGCGUUACCUGCAGACAGCCCAUAAAACUCACAGCUUGCUGUAAGAGAGUUUCUCUAUCCUCCAUCAUCAAUAAACCCCUAAUCAAAUAAAGUGGCGCUUGCGCUGCAUUCCAGUCGGAUCCACCUGGAGUCUAUGAGCUUUCCAACUCUCGUCCCGUUGCCUGCUGUAAUCAGCGGGGAGACAGCUGGUCUCACCACGCCGUUCCACCUGCCCGCUCCCCAGAGUAAAGGGCUGUGCUUCAGCGACCAAACCCACUCCAAGUCUCUCUCCCAGGCCCACUCCAGCGAGACUGGCGGGGGUCUCACACAUCGAUUUCUGGGAAAAAGGGAAGGUUGGACGGACCCGUCACCACGCUGGCGCUGGCAGUGGAAUGAGACGGGCUCCCACAAGGUUUGCGCCUGUCAUUUAUUUCUAAACGACGGCAGAUGGUGAGCUUGGCGCUUGCACCAUCCUCUCAAUCUCCCAAGGUGCACUUCUGUGAUGGAUGUGGCGAAUGGGAGCGCAGCAGAGGAGGCUGAGGCACAUCUGCGCCGGGCCGAUAACGGGGGGAGGGGGGCAAAGUAUGUCUGGGCUUUUCUAGCUGUCGACUCGCCUUCACAUAUUACUCAUUCCCUCACACACCUCUUGAGGACUCCCGUCUUACAGGGUUUAUUUGCCUCUAACUUUCAUCGCUUUUCUUUUCGCAGACGUUAUCAGUAAGGAACCUCUCGGUUUACCGUGCAGCUGCCCUUUUAGGUUCGACACUGCUAGCUGGCUGGAAAUCUACGCAAACCGUUCUUCCAGCAUGAGAUAAACUGGAUAAAGGCUGUCACCACCGUUAAUUAUCCCAGAGUUAUAUUAAUUGCAGCCUUCAUGUCUUCAGGCUGUACUGAAAGUUAUCCAGGAAUGGCUAUGACUUUUAAAAAAGGGACAUUGAGGCAUGUAACUUUCCUUAAUUGGAUUUCAUUUAUUUCGUUAUCCUCAUUAGGGUUCCGUCUUAUCGGAGGUCUGUCGGGUCUUUCACAGCAUUAUAUUACAGUAUACUGUUGUGAUUGAGCUUCAUGUAAUUAUAAAGAUGUCCAAUCUUCAUGAACAACAAUGGCUUCUAGGGGAAGUAGAGAGUAACUAAUUACAAGCAGCAAGUUAGCAGCUGCUUUAGUGAAGAAAGAAUGCACAUCCGUGACUGCUAAACAAUUCAAUGUCUAAAGAGAUACAUUUGGUGUUUCAUGAUUAAGUUUUGAGUCAGUAGCUCUGACAUUAUUAAGUUGUCUAUGAAAAACACAGAAAUACUUAAAACCCCAGUUGUAGUUUUCUGUUUUUGCUCGAUCUCUGGCUUGUCUGUCAUUACACAAAUUACUUAAUUUACAGACAAAGUCUUAAACACUGCUUUGAAAUUUAAAUUACAAUUAGAUCUUAUUCUUUGUGUUUGUUAUAAGAGUCAUGGUGAAGACCGCUGUUUGGCCUAUUAUGUUAGCCUUGGUUAGUUACAUUUUAUUUUCAAAUCCAAAAAUGAUUAUUUUAUUGAUUACUUAACGGGGGGAAAAAAAAAUCACAAUCUCAGAGCCCAAAAAGUCAAAGAAAAGCUAUGAAAUCCACACAUUGAAGAAGCCAUCACCAGGAUGUACAAACACACCCUCACAUCCCACACGCCACCUAACACAUCCCAACACACAUUAAAGUGAUAAAUCCCUGCCAAACAACACCCUUGCAAAGGUCACUUCAGCUUUAUCAUCCUAAUCAUCGAACACAAUCACCUUCCUGGAUUUAAGUUCGCAUUAAAAGCAUCACGGCCCUCCCAACCGCAUCCCUGCCCACAGACGUAACCAUGGCAACAGAGACGUUGGGCUGCCCUCCGACGAUGCAUCUCCGGGAUUCUCUGUGCGCCGCUGCCGGCUGACAAGUCAGGCGUAAAGAGUCGAUUUAGCUGCGGCAUUGGGGAGGCUUGCACAUUAGAGGAGAGGAAAUAGGAGCCAGCAAAUACUUAGUGGGUGAUUGGCGCCGCAAUAACAGAACACCCCCUUUGGCAGCUCGUCAAGCGGUGCUAUACGGAUGCCAUUACAAACAGGCGGCCAUUAGCCGGCACGGAGGCUUUGUGAGGCUUGUCGCUGCCUCACGUUUUUAACCCCCGGGGUGUUCUUUAAGAUGUGUACAAUCAGCUGUACACGGCUGACCCUUUGUUUUUGUCUUCUUUAACUUUUUUUUAUUUAUCGAGAUGGAUGGACGGCAAGCAUUUAGGAAACAUGGGCUUUCAAGCUCUGAAAGAAUAUUUCACAUUGCAGAGUAAAACAUCAAGAUCCCUGCAAAGUGCGAGUUACAUCAAUCCCAAAAAUAAGCUUUUUUUGGUCAAAACAUGGCACACUGUGUGUGCACAACGCCCCAGAGACCCAGAAGUAAUAGUACUGAAUACUAUCUUUUUAUAAAGAUACAAACACCAACAAGCUUUUUUUCCCUUUUUUGCUGAAGCACUAGACCAGCUGCAUUGUAGUGACUUCCUCACUCUAUGAAAAUGUGCCUCAUGCUGGGUCGGGAGUAUGCACAGCACAUAAGUAGCUGGAUCUGCACCGAAACGCUAUUAAUAUGCAGUAAAAAGCAAACCUAACCUGUGGCGGCAUUCAUAUUUUGUCACCAUAGGGUAGGUUACAUUGAUGUGUCCUACAUAUUUAUUUUUACUGUGGGGUGAAAAGUCUGUCAAACGCCUGACGAGAUGGAUUUUCUUUGACGUACGAAAUAGUCUCACACGUUCUCGUGGCAUUGCGAGAUCCCAGCUUGCCGUGCAGAUGAGGUAUCUUUUAAAGACAAUUUUGCAUUGGAAAUUCAACAUGUCUCUUUUCUGCGCCUAAUGCUGAAAUCCACUGCCAUUUUGAAGAUCUGCCUAGCAAAACAAAGGCUAUGGCUACAACACGUUAAAGGCCAACACAUGCUCACAAUGCAUGCAUCCAUGGUGGAGUAUGACAACAUGGAAGAAAGCCUCUGCCAAACAGCAUAUGUUGUGUAAAAUGAGUGGCCUGCGCCGUACAGACCGGCCGCGUGCACUUCAAUAGUCUCCUCUACCACCCAUGAGGUGGUGCACAAACACCCAGGGAGGUUUUUUUUUUAUCUCACUUUCACAGUCUCGCAGGCACCCUCACUGACUGGCAUCUCAUUAGGGGAGCGGAGCGCCGUGCUCGCGUGUUCGCCGCCAGACAGGCCACGCCACAGGCUGCAUGCUAAUUGCAGAGGCGUAGCCAGCAUGAGAUGACCUUGUAGGGUAAAAGAGGAAGGAAGGCAGAGAAGUGGUUUGGUUAUAGCGUCUGGUGGGAAGGGGGGCUCUCCCCCACCAAAACCGCUUUUGUCCUGACCUUGGGCAGCAAAGUCAGCCAAGUCUGACCACGCAGUGGCGUGCGCUCGUGAAGGGGAAAGUCUCAUUAAGAAAUAAAAAGCAAAGCAGUAUGUAAUGUAGGUGGCAAGCAUUUUACUUGUGAUGAGAAAAUAAUCUCACUGGUUGACGUUAUUCUGACAUUAAUUUGCUUCUUAUCAUAACUUUACAGCAAUUUGAAAGCCUUUGGGUUUUUUUUCGCCUGACAACUUGUUAGAUAAAAGGCUUCAAGUGAAAGUCACAUUCAAAAACCCAUUGCAGCAGUAAUUUUGACUUGACAGUAAUAUGUAUAUUUUCACCUUUUGUGACAUUAAUUUACAACAUCAGUUGUAUUAUAGUUUUGACGCUUGGCUCAUCUUCACAGAAGGGCGUGUAAUUGGCAUUAAACAGAUCAAGCUUCUGUGCGAACUCUGAAUAUCUAUGUUGAUGACACCAACGUUUUUAUAUUUUCCUUUGCCAAGUAGAUGUGGACUUCAAACGACUUGUGUGUUUCAAACAAUGACCCCCGACAGGCUCUGUAACUUCGUCGUAACCUCUCCAGCCUCCAACUCCACUCACAUCUGAAGCGACUGAACUGUAAAGUCCUCUGAUUGAAUUCCAUUCAAUGACAAAACUUGCAAACACUGAGAUGGGGAAAGGACAGACAGAAAAGAGACGGGAACUGUCCAAAAAAAAGGUCAAGUAUGGCAAACUACAGUUUCCUCUGUCAUCGAGAUAGAAGCGAUGGUUGAAACUUCCUAAUACCCGAAUCCUGGCCAACUUCGAUGUACUUCCUACAAAGAAAGAUUACAAAGAAUGUGUUGCGAGAGAGAGAGAGAGGGAGAGAGAGGGAGAGUUAGAAGCACAGUUUGAGAGAGAGAGAGAGAGAGAGACUAUAGCUUUCUGUUUGUUUUAGUGCCAUUAGUUCCUCCCUGCCACUCAAUGAUAAAGAGGAUCUGCCAUCAGCCAAACCAGCCAUCUCUUUCAGUCCUCAUUAAAAUGUCGUCAUAUUAAAAAAUAAUUUCAGGCCUCUGCUGAUGAGCGUUUUAUUGCCUUCAUGAAAAUGUUCUCACUUUGGAGUCAACGGGAGAGAAAACCUUCAACGAGUAAUGAGAGCAAGAGACAAAGCGACGACAGGCUAGAUAAGGCUGAUUUGUUUCAUACUAGGGAGGGUCGUUUCAAUUUCUAGUUCAUUAAUAAUUUCUUUAUUUUGCAGUCCAACAAACAAACAGCAAAGAAUGCACGCUGGCAAGAAUAAAGUGGUCAAGAUGUUAAACUGGCUACUAAAAGAAAACAAUAGAAUAGACAAACAAACUGCUGAAACAGAUUAACGCAAGAUAAAAAGCAACAAAAAAGAGAGGCAAAAUAAAAAGGACGGGGGAAUUGUUACCCUAUGAAUUCAUUUUUUAAUUAGUUCUGGUAGGUUUGAUGUUUACUGUUGGGGCUUUUGUAAACAGUUUUUUAACAAUAACUAGUUAGUCACGUCAACACAAUAUCCAGUUAUUCAAUCAGCAACAUUGAAUCCAAAUAGCUUCCAGUGCUUUGCUGCCAAUGUUCUCACUAAAAGGCAUCCUACGAAGUAGUGAACCCAUUAACAACACAUUUCACCUUUGCAGGUCAGUUGUUGCUCUCUGAUACAGGUAAUCUGAGUUAAUCUUCUACUCGCUUACAAAAUGCUUCCACAAGCACUUUUCAUCGUAGACACAUGAAAUGGAAAAAGCAAUUUUCUAAUACCCUGCAGUGGAAAAAACUGCAGCAGCAGGAACUUAGAGGCCGUAAGCGGGAGUGUAAAGGUUACUGAAGAAGUACUUUGACACAUUCAUACUUAAACAAUAGCCUAAUGAAAAAAUCCUGGUGUUCUAAUGACACCCAAAAGGUUAUAUUCGUUGUGCAUAUAUAGCUUAAUACAGAGUGGUUUUGCUGUUCUAGAAGCAGGUUGCUAAUGAAAGUCCUUGAAAGAUCAAAGGCACAAUAAAGGAUGAGGUUUAAAUGGAGACAAUCCUACAGCUAUUCAUCCCCUGUGGACGUAUUAUGAGAGGUAGCACUUCAGCUCUUAUUGUUUGGACUUAUUAUUAUUCUGAUUUGCAGCUUUUCAACAUUUCCAUUUUGCUGAUUUGUUGCUCCAAUAAUGAACAGCUACACACAACAGCGGCUUGUAUGCAUAUCCUGUAAAGGCUGGAGAGAAAAAUAGUGGCUCGGCUUACAGAUGCUCCUGCACAGCACUCCAUGAUGCAGAUUUAAUAUAACCAUAUGCUGAUGUUUUCAGGCACCAAUGCUGAUUAAAUGAGCUGCUUGUAUCAGAUGAAGAAGAAAAAGUUUUGCACCAUUUGUUACGUUGCGUCAUCCUAUCUCUCUCCUUGAUAAUCGCAUUUCUAUUCAAAGUGGAGCACAAACAAUAACAUUAGACGGGUGUUAGACACUCGCCCUCUUUGCCUGAGCUGUGUGUUUUGCUUAUGAGAUAUUUUAAUCGCCAAUAGGAACCCGAGCGCACCAGAGUCAAUCUAUUAAUGGGGGGAAUCAUGAAUUAUGAGAGGAAAUUAAACUACUUUCACACAUACUCAGACACAUGGACAAACUGAGCACACAAACAGGGUUUGUGUGAGUACAUUAAUGUCCCAGCAGAAUACACACAUAACUACUUGAUUGGCCCCAAGGGAUGUAAUAUCUACGCUUUAAUUCCAGAUAGCAAGUAAGCAUAUCCUGUUACAAGCCAUUACAAGAGUUUAAUGCCAGGCGCAGUGUUUGUUAUGCUCUCAUUUUACAUCUUCACUUCUUAGGCUUUAGCUCUGUUUGAGAUGCAAUAAAAAGAUUUCCGCUACUUUUGUUACAGCUAUGGAGUUUUCUUGUCUUGCUAAAUUUACUCUCGUAAUCAAAAAUAUUCAGUUGAAAAUAACUUCUUCUAUCUUUUUGUUAAGGCUGAAUAGGAGGGAGGAGUAAAAAGUAUGGACAAGAUAGACCUGGUGCAUGUAAAUCAUUUAUUUUCCCUUCUGGGUCUGGUGUGUUGUACACUUUAUUUUGUGUGUUGUAUUUUGGGAUUUGCACAACAGUGUAGCUGCUGGAAGGAAACAUUAAUUUAUUGCCCUGGCUCUGUGCUCAUGUCCAUUCAUUCGCCAGUUGCUUGUGGCUCCGUUUUUGGGGGUUUUAAUACAGACAGAAGAUGCCAAAGCAAUGUUAGGUAAUUAUUCAUACUACUACCUACUGAGAACUGAGCAGAAACAGAAAAUGAGCAGAAAUGUGCCAGGAAACAAUGCUACAAGCACUCAGACCCUAAAAUUACAAAAUGAAAUUAACUACUAACUAAGAGGAAGAGUGGUGGUGUCAUAGAGUGACAGAGUUUGUGUUUUAAUCAAAUGGCAGCCAUCAUUUGUCUUUUUUAAGAAUGACUAGGAUUCCACAAUCCUUUACCUUUAAGAGGUGUUUUUUUUAUUGUAAUCCUGAAGAAAUAAACUACCAUAUUCUCAACGAAUGACUAUUUGUUUUAGUUAAAUAUUACUCAAGCUACUGGAAGAACAUUGAAAAUGAAAAAACAGCCUACAGUUUGCUAAAAGCAGGUCUUUGGGUGUAGUACCAGCUGAUAAAUAGUGCGCUCUGGGGGACCGGUGUUCAUUUGUGAUAUCCUCAUUUCAUAUUCUCGCCAGUUGGGCACGCCUCAGUUUUGAGGUGUAAUGUAGGCCUGCCAAAUCAGCGGUAGCCCCAUUACUCAUCCCCCUCUGUGCUGUCUCCUGGCUUGUGCUCCACCGCUAAUGCAGAUUACAGGGAUAUAUGAGGGCUAUUUUGUUCGCUGCAGGGUGGAAACGAUCACAGGCAACCCGAUCCCUCUCUGAUGCACGAUUCUACAUCUGUUCCCCCCACGGAAGCCUAUCUGGAGAUCCAUCAGAGCCGAGCCCUUAUCAGAUCCGAGGCUGUACAUCUCUUGCACAUCAAUUAUAGAUGCUAUGGGUAAAAAAUGGGGUCACUACAUCAACACACGCUUUCGAUCCUCAGAGACAUUGUUUGGCUAAGUGAAAUAGUGGUUUUAGAAAUAGUUUGUGCGCGUUAAAGUGUUAAAUUGGCCAUCCCAUGAUACUUUCGUAUGAAGACACAAGGGCCUCCGGUGAAGGAGAAUAAUGGAUGACACGGCUUUGCUAUAAUGAUAACUGUCAUUUAUAAUUUCUCUUCAUUGGAACUUUGAGGAACUUGGUGGCUUAUGUUAGUGGAAUUUGUGUAGGUAUAAAGAAUAUUCCCUGUAUUCUUUUUUUCAAAAAGGUGUGAACAAUCCAAGACACGUUAUUUUCACUCCAAAAAUCAGCCGAAACUUAAGGGAAUUUCCAACUUGUUCUCUGACAGAGAACACCGGCAUAUUAUUAAACUAUAUAUCUAUUCUGUGACCAGGACACGUUCGAACAGCACGUUUAAUCUUUAUGCAAGUCUGUCAUCUGUUGGCUAAAUAGACCAUUCAUCAUAUUAUUGGGCUUUUACAGCCUGACUGUUUGAGUGAUCCGUCUCUCAAACAGCCUCUCUCCCCGGCAGCCCAAUCAAUCAUUUUUCAAUGAAGAUGUCACAGCUCAUUGUGUGGAGUGCUUUCCCAAACAAUUUCCAGAGCCUUUUAGAUGAUAAACUUUUCGUGUUCACGACCAUCUCUGGCUCCUCUGCAAAAUGUACUUUAGAAGCAGAAUAAUUAUUUCAACCAUAUGCUUCAUAGUUUAAAUCCUGAAUUCACCCACUGUCAACAAUUUCCACCUCAGUGGAGACUUUAGCAGGUGCAGGAUUGUGCUCACUAUUAACUUUUCAUUAGGCGAGGUAAACCGCACUUGUCAUCAAGAAGUAGCUGCUGCUCAACAAGGGACAUAAUUGGUUUGUGGUUAAUGGCUAUUUGGAGCUGCAAGACGAGGGUAUGUCCGUAAAAUCGCAGUAUAAGCCUCCAAUUUCUCAGGAAGAAGGGUAAAAUGUUAAGGGUCGACAGCUGAAUCUGAAAUGUCUUCCAGGGUUUGUUCGGUAGUGUAUGCACUUAAAAAGCAGAAGAUAACGGCCGUUCCAUUAACUCCGAAGCCAUAAGAUUGACUCAUUACAUCCAAAGAGCCACAGUGGUGCAAUACGUUUUUUUUUACACUUGUUCAGGUUCAACUUUUCUUCCUCUGUAAACUCAACUCACGUCUGUUCUGUUCUGCUUCUGUUGCAGGAUCCUUCGGGAGUUGACGCACAGACCUGCGACAUGGGGAGCCUGAACCCUUCCGGUCAUCUUCCCCCAACACAAGAGGAUGUGUUUCAGAUAACCCAGUGGGCAGAACAGCACACACCAACGUGAACCCUCGCUCAUCUCAAAGUAUCACCGGAUCAUCUGUUUUGUAUCAAAAGUCUUACAUGAAAGUAUUCUGCGCAGCUCAAGCAAUUCCUUGCAAAUAAAUGUAGUUGAAUCAAAAGUAUAAUAUGGUCUUCUGAAAUCUACUGGAAGUAAAGUACAAUGGGUGGGAGGGAUAUCCAGAUAUUAAAAAGAAGUAUAAAAAUGAAGUGAUUUGCUAUAAUGACACAUCAUUAUUUAUAGUCUGACAGUAUUCAAGUUAUUUACUUAAGUAAAAGUAGCCUAAGGAUACCGGGGAGAUUUACUUAAAGUAACAAAAGUAAAAGCACAAGUACUUAAUGUUGCACCUGGUUCAAAAGCGACCAAUGUUAUCUACUUUCUUUAUUAUGAUGUAAAUUAAUUCAUAAGAAAGCAUUGUAUUUUAUAAGACAUCAAAUCUUAACAUGCAUAAUUAUGCUGGCAAAUAGAUUCAUUUUAUAUUUUUCAAACGUAACGCUGUUUAAGGAGACGGUACUUAAUUGCAGUAAAAUGAAUGUUCUGUUAAUGUUCUUUCCACAGGUGAUGCAAUAGUUUACCCUAACUUGCCAUCAUUAUCUGUUUCCUCUUUCUUCCAAAAUGUAUUGCAUCUACGUAGAAUAUCAAUCUCCUCACUGCAUCAAACUGUUCUUUUUAGGUCAAGUGCAUUGAAAUCCAACCUGUUCGCUGACAAAUGAUUGGGAAUUAAUGUAAACUGUUGCCUCACUACUCACUCCUGGUACCAUGAGGCCUCAUUGAGCAGUUGUGCUCUUCUUUCCUCUCUUCCGUGCGUGUCAGCUUUCCACCACCACCAUCUCCACCUGCACCCUCAGUGCACCACAGUUGCAUUAUAAAACUUGUAUAAGAUCAUUAGCAUACAAAGCAGGAAACCUACUGUGUCAUACAUAUUUAUCUGGAUGUGCCUGACUUUGGCGCGCAUGCACAAUCACACUGUAACCCUUUUACAACCGGGUGAACUGUCUUUCUGCUGAAGGAGAGCUGCGAACAGACACUAUGAAGUGGAUGUUACCAGAAGCACGUACUGUUUUAAUGGAUAGAUAUUUAUUCAUGCAACAUCUUGAGAAAGACAAGCUUACAUUUGCCAUAAACUUCACAUUAAAACAUGUGCAGCUGCUUGCGAGAGCUAGAAAAUGUGUUUAUUUGGAAACAGAGCAGAUGGAGUUUGGUUAGGUUCAUCAGAGCAGUUUGCUUUGAGCAUAUCAAAUACAGUUUACACACAGAGGAAUUUCGGUCGAGUAAUGCCUGCAAUACAUAUUCAUCUGCUGCACUCAGAAGCACGUAAUCAAACAGAGAGAAAUACAGAGGACAUGGCCCCUAUAAAUACUUGUAUCCCGUGUGGUCUACCCCUGACUUUUGAAUGACUAUGAAAUCAGCUCAAUUUCUCAUUCCCUUCCUCUUCAAAUCCUCUUUUUUUCUACUAUUACCAACUAUUCUACCUUCUUGAUGAAAGCAGAAGUCCUCCGUUGAUUAUAUCCACCUGUCUCCUUCUCUUCCCCACCUCCUGUGAGAUUGCCGUCGUGUCUUAUGGCUUUUUAUUCCUACGUGAUGGUAGAUGGGUUCAUGUAGGAGUAGAAGCCACUAAACACGCGGUGAGUGCUCGACAUGCUGGCCAGCACACACAGCGAGCUUCCUGUGGCUAUGACUGCUUCCUGUGGAUACGACAGCUGCCACCUUCUCGCCCAUUAUCAAGGAUAUGCCCAUUAUCAAGAAUAUGCAAGCGAAAAAAGUAGUCCGCGCUAUAGUCGCCGCAGGGAGUGUGUACUGUUUCAGGUUAUCAUUUCAGACCAGAUUUGUAAUGUGAAAAAUGUUAAAUUAACCUAAUUGAACAAUUGGUUUUAAGACAAUAGAGCUGAAUGGUGCUUUUCGUGUGGGCUGACAAAUCAAUUUUGAGUUGUGAAUAGACCUACUUUUUCACAAAGGCUUCCCACCUGAAUGAUGGCUGCACGUGCCCUGAAUUUAAAACUCAUUCCUGCAUUCCUCUGCCCCGAGGUUGCUGUAUAAAACUGGAGCUGGACAGCUCUCCAAAAAAGAGAUCAGGAGGAGCGGAUACCACAAUUAAAACGAAACAACUUACAGAGGUAGGUCAUCUAUGUUGUUUGUUAAUACGCCGAAUGUGAAGGGACCAUCUCUCCUCCAAGAGUGACAACAUACAGAAAGUGUGAGCAGAAUGUAUCACCCAUCAAUCCCGCUGUCAAUAAAAAUGUCACCAAAUUCUAUACAUGUUCUAUUUAGAAAUAUGUUGUUGCUGUCCUGUGAAAACCCUGAAUCUCCAAGAUGACUUGUGCUAAGCUUUGUAAUGUUUAUAUUUCUUCAAGUAACACGGUUUCGCUUUGGGUUAGAAAUCUGUUGUGUCUUGGUCUGCCAUAGAAAUGCAAGUUCAAUAUUUGGUCAACUUUUAUCUCUGUUUUAGUCUCCACCCGGUCCAUAGACUAAUAUGUUGCUGCUAGAUGCUGCAACACGUCCAUCCGCUGGUUGCUGUGUAUGUCUGCAGUUCUGUAUGCAGUUAGUGUUAAAUCGGUUGGCAAUUUUCGUUAUUCUCUGGAUAGCACUACAUAUUUGUUUUGUUAUUUUUGUCAUUUCACAUGAACACCUGUUUUUUAGUCAUCCGUUUCACAUGAGCUCUUUGUAAGGACUCUGCUUAAUUAGACCAACACUGUUCUUGUAAAGCUUUCAACACCAACCUGAAAAUGGAACUCAGCUCAGGGCAAAUCUCUGUUCAAUCAUAAAUUAGGUCCAGAACAAGUCAAAAGGGCCUAUAAUGGUAUUCAUCAGCACUAACUUUCUGCCUGAAAUAAACUUGGCACCAACCAAUUAAAAAAGAUAUUGAAAUGAUCCUGCGCGUGCUUUGUCUGGUUGGUGCUGUGGGAAUUGGGUUUAAAUGUCAUCCUUCUGUUUCUAUUCGCUGUAAAACAGCCUCCUGCUUUUCUCCUCCUGAGCAGAGACUGAUUAAUUUCUAAAUGUGUAGUUGUUGUAAACCCAGAACUGAAUAAUUAAUCCCGGGAUAUUACGACAAAUUGACCAAUGCUUGCAAUCGUGUGACAUUAUAUAUUUGUCGAUAUGAGGGGCAUAAUUAUUCAAGGUGGAAUUGCAUUUGAUAUGGUCUACUAAGGCUUAAUGAUUUAUUCACAGCUGUAAAUUGUUAUGAUCUAAAAUUCAUCGGGGUGGAAUGGAAAGUUUCUUUUGCUUGCAUUUUUGGAUGAAUUUAUAUUUCAGGUUCUCACUUCAACAUAUUCUCUUAAAGAGAGGAAGUCAAAAAGAAUAGUCGAGCAGCAAAGACACGUGAGAGGAAGCUGAGAGGAUUCGAUUCAGGAACAGUAGGGGGUCCAUGGAAAUCUAAAAGUUCCCAUUCAAUCAUCAUCGUAUCUAUGAGACAGAGCCUGAAUUAUUUAAAACAGCUUAGCAUAUGAAGAGGAAGUUAUGUUUCAACACAUUGUGGCCAUCCGCUGUUUCACCCGAGAUUGUGUUCUCAUUUUGAUUGUGCUGUAACCCUCAUAUCCUCAACGUGUUUGGCGAAAACAGUUUGGGGAUUUAUAUAACUAGGUCCUCACGUUAUGGAACUUGAUUGAGCUGUACAAGGUCGCAUAAUCCUCAAGUUUAGGUAAAAACAUACAAAAUGUCAGAAAUGGAGAAAUGGGACUUUCAUCUGACAGCUGCAAUAAUGAAGCAUGUUUGUGUACAGUAUGUGUAUGAGUGCUUAGCUACUGUAUCCACCUCCCUCAGGCUGCACUUCAGUAAUAAAUAAUGCUCUUUAGUGUUCUCUGCUUCAUUUGUUUUCUGUUGUAACGUCAGUGCUGCUCAAUAAAUUAUAAAUCAAGCCUGUUCAACCUGCCGCACAUCUCUCGUUUCAUUAGCCCUUUUUGUGUGUGUUUUCUAUUGCCACUUCCAGGCACACCCGAAGUGUACACACCAAAACUCACAAGAGCUUUCACUGGAUUGGAUUCCGAACACAUGUAGCUAAGUAUAGUACAAAUGGCUAGAGAGCAGCAGGAAUGCAGCAGUAAAACAUGUCAAAUUAUUAGUAGCUUAAAGUAUAAGCUCAAUUCAAACCACCUUUCAUUGACAUAAUUGCUUAUAUUCAGUGCAUAUUUAAUCUGCUAUAAGCCAUGAAAUUGCCACACAUAACAACACAAUUACACACUAAUUCACAGAAAAAUAAAGAUGGAUUUUGGGCUUUGCCGUGUUAUCCCACAGAGCUGUCUGACAGCGGGCAAGCUGAAGGACUGUUUAGGGGAUGAGUUGCAGAGGCACAGUGGGAUUCUUUCACUUUCUUUUCUCAGGGAUUUUGGGCAGCAAAUCUCGCCUACACACACCAGCUGGCUGUUGUCUGGGGGAAUCGCCUCAGCCAUUUUUUUUCUGAUGAAAUCAGAGGAAACGCACAAGCAGCCCAAGGCAGACCACAUAUCCUUUUUUUUAUUCCUUCCCUAUUCAAUAAUUCUCACUGAUGGGCCUUUCCUUUGAGCACUGGCACUAGUCCUCAUUCCAAUUAGGGAAAGGCAAAGAGGCCCCCUUGUUUGUCGGCACGCAAGCAGUAAUUGGAUAAUCCCCGGAAUUUGAGCGAGUAUACAAAAGGGAAUCUGCAAUUAUACCAGAAAGUCCGUCAAAUAUUGACACAGAUGAGUCCUGCAAAGUACAGAUACAGAGGAUAAGUCAACUUAUUAAUGUAGAGGUUUUCUAAAAUUUUCAAAGUUGUAUGCACAUGGGCAAAUUAUUUGUGUCUCAAUCUCAUAAUCAAUCAAAAUCUCAUUAUAAAAUAGACAGAAAAUCUGAUCCAUUCUAAUAUUAAUUUGGACUUUAUUUCGAACAAUGUUUUUGUUUCAUGAACUCUUAAAGCACCUUUAGUUUUUUUUUCUCCUCAUUUAUAUUGUACUACUUUAAAAAGAAGAAUACACUAAUUUAGAAUCUGGGGUGGAUCGUGUCACAUUUGGCCCUGGGUUUAGGAAAGGAUCCAUGUCAAAAUCAGUUGGAACACCAACUUACCAAAAACGAACAAACUGAAUACUUCAGUAUUCUAAUACUGCAAAGUUUUGCAAAUGAACACAAAGCACAGAUGAAACUGAUGGGCAUAUAAUUUGUUUAGCAGUUAUUUGGUAAGAAACCCAAAUAUUGGACUAGUAUUCACAUCAUUUGGUUCAAACCAAAUUUCCACAAUCCUUCAUUUCAAUCAAGACAGCAAAUGUUAGCUUCAUAGUGGCGCUAAAGGACAAGUCGUUAUGCCAAAAAGGUAAAGUAAUUGAAACGGAUCACUAAAGUCAAGAUGAUUUAUUCUCUGGAACUAUUAAAUGAUGCUCAAUUGAAAUCUGUCCUGUAUUUCUUGACUUCUUGACUUAUUUCAGUUAGAACCAAAGUGGUGGACCAAUCGACAGGCCAACAUUGCAGCUUAUUGAGCAACUUGAGUUCUUAUUUCUGCAGCCUCUAAAUGGCAAAAGUUCAGAUGCCACAACAUAAGCCUACACAGCCUUUUGGAAACAAUCUCUGCUCAUAGUGUGACAUCCCAUUGCGAUAACAGUGUGCUGAGUUACACAAAUUUUUCUCAACAUCUCACUGAAAGCCAUCACAACAAGACGUCUCCUCUCUUAGAGUCCACUUAAUGAGAGUGUAGCGUCAGCGUUCUGGCUGCAAUUACUGUGCUUAGGACUCUUUAAUGAUAUGAUAAUGGCUUGGCUGUAUUACCUCUCAGCUGCCCAAACAACAUUAAAUACCCUGCGGCUGAUUAAUCCAGCAUCCACAAAAACACCCAAUUAGAGGGAAAAUGUUUGAAUCGAGUUCUACUAACAACUUUAGGGCAGAAUAGACAAACACAAUGCAGCUGCAAAAUAUUUCCCCUCACAGUACAGUAAAAGGAAAUAAUAGCCAAAGCUUGUGGAUGUUACUGUUUUACAAUGAAAACACACGGUUCUCUAUUAUAUAUUUUAUAUUAGGAUGGCGCUGUGACGCAGCGUGACCUAAGAUAAGUUGUUGCUGACUGCUCACGGAUAUAAGGAAAGCAAAAUGUGUGACCUUCAUUUGCAUACAUUCGGCGCACCUUUCCUGUUGUUGCUGAGCCUGCAUCAAAGUCAGAGGUGUUAAAACAUCUAAUAUGAAUUGCACAAAGUUGAGUCCAUGUCUUUUUUUUGUUCUACUUUGAACCACGAUAAAGGAUCUCAACACAAGGCUGUGAGUUAACGUCAAAUUGGAAAGAAAAAUUCAAAGGGAGUAUUCUCAGCGUAAAGACGUUCUAUACAGUUUUGAAAAAUGAACGAUCAGAAUUUGAAAUAUACAAAACAAAACAUUUCUCACACCACACCAUCAUAGUUUGUCAAAUACGAUUAAACGGAGACACACUUCUAACAACUCCCCACCCAACUGCACUCCCGCCAGCACCCGAUUGCUGUCAACGCAGAACUCACAGAGCGAUCGUGAUUAUUAAUGUUCAACAUCUGAAGUUAAGCUCAUGAGGGUGAUAUUCAUUUUUCAGGAGUUCCUUUUGUAAUGAAGACCGAGCGGUGACAAAGUCCCGCUGAGUGUACAGAGGAAACACAUCUAGUAAACAGACAUGGAAGCCAAGUACAAGCAGACAAGACAGUUGCUGAUAAGUGCAUUUUAUUUUUCUUUACUCAAGUAUGUUCUACUCCAAUUUAUACAGAUAUUUUUAAAUUAAAGGUAAAACAACAUAAAAUGUGGUAUAGUUUCUAGAAUUCUAUCAAAUUUUAUUGACGGAAUUAAACAUUGUUGGUGGUGUUUCUACAGUUGAGAUGUGGUGUCUACAAAGGCCGCGAUUCUCUCCAUCUGUUCAUGUAGAUUGUGCGACAUGAUUGAAAGCUCCAGAGCUUUGAUUGUACUCAUUUGUGUAACAUCCAAUCGUGUAAAAUAUCGGUUUAGUGUAUGUGUGUACACAUGUGACAAUGAUCUUUCAGGAAGACGAUCAUCGUAUUUAAUGGCCACCGGGAGUCCCUGGUUUGGUGAUCAUGUAAAUAAGGUGAAUCCAAGGUUGCAUUAACUGGCUGUGACACUGUGAUCAGCUUAUUUUUAGUCAUUGCAUUACUUGCACAUUUGUUGGUAAAUGUGCACCCUUAAUGUAAUAUUGGACCUGGUCCUGCCCACCUUAAUUGUAAAGCCCUAACUUUAAGGGAGGACCUGUGCCCAUACCUAGUUGUACCACCAUUGUUAAUUUGUAUAGAGUUCUAACAUUGUGUAAAACCUUAAAUAAAGUUGUUUACUGCCAACAGUCAUUUUUGUACUCAAUCUAAAUAAUCUGUGUCAAUGUUAAGUAAAGGUAGUAGUAUAGCAUAUCAGAAGUACCAGUGGAAACAGUGCGACCACUGAUGAAAGUAACAAUUUGAAUGCAAUCAUGUCUUUGACUACUAAUCCUACAACCUGUUUGGCUCUUAAUGGUGGUAAUAGUGCUACCAAUCAUCACUUUCUCACCAUGAAAGCCUUUUUCAGAGCAGGUCUAUGCUUUUAGCUCCAUCUCGUCUGUCUCUUAUCACCUCUCAUCAGCAGGAAAGACGUCGGAAGUGGGACGAGGGGGGGCUGCCCAUCCGAGGCAAAGAGGAGAGCCAAAAGAAGGCAGCAUCCUUAUCAAAGGCCUGGGUGCUGAGAAUUGGUUAAAAAUAGAAACUGAGAGAGAUUGGCAUCGAUUUCUGUAGGCGUUGACGGCCGGAUUGACAGCAGCACAGCGGCGUCGAGCUGUUAAGCCAUCGAGGGAAUCCGCCAGACUGCCUAUGAUGAGAUGAGAUGGGAAGAUAACUUCUGACAAGCCCUCCACCCGCUACCCAUCUCUAAUCACCCGCGCUGCACACACACACCUGCACGCAUGCACAAACACGCACACACACAAAAAGAAAAAAGUAAUUACCUUGUGAUUGCUCAGGCUCGCUCGCACACACACACACACACACACGCACAUAUGUGCACACACACUUGGUGCCCCCUGAGCAAGUAAUGGGACUUUGGCUGGCUGAGCAUCCACCUGUCUGUUGUCUCCUGCCAAGCCGAAGCUCAGGUGCUCCCACACAUACAAAAUACCUGUGAAUGUCCCUCCACAGCUACAAGCCGGCGUCCUUAAGGAUCUACCGUCAGUAAAUUGUGCCUAAUUUCCAUGAGAUGCUUUGAACGGGGAUGUCAGUGACCUUUGUUUUAGUGCUGUAAAUGAACUCCACUAAGUGAUUACUUUUAUUACACUGUCUGCUUUACUACACUUGGAUGUUGUUCUCCCCGAGGUAGGAGCAUUAAUUCAGCUACACACGUCUGCCGGGCAUACUGAUAUAAAUAUCCCUGGGUUGUGGCAAAUGAAAAGCCCAAAUCCGUUACACAUAUAAUGAAUUCGGCUAGGUGAAUGGUGCAUAACAAUAAACAUGGUGUGAAUGACCUAUGAUGAUCGCCAAUAAACAUAAAUCCCAAAACGUAAAAGGCAGGUUUUAAAUGUGUCAAAUGAGGAUUUAAUUACAGUUCCUCUUUAUUAUUAUGCAAAUUAUAUUUAUUAUUAUUCUUAUAGUAUUAUAAUUUAUAUAUGUUUUAUGUCUAUUUAAUACAUUUAAAAACAUAAAAUUAGUUAUUGUAAUAAUAAUAAAAAGUUUUAUUUGACAACACAUUUACUAAUUUGGGGAAGAAACAUCUGUUCUGUAUUUGGUAGCCUGAACCAAAUAGCUAUUUACCCAGCCAUUAUCCAAAAAUUCCAUAUGGUAAAUAAUAGAAAAAGGGAAUCAGUAAAAACAAAACUAAUAAAUUAAAUAUUUGCCUUUAUAAAUUAAAUGCCUUUAUGAUGUUGGAUUAAACAAUAUGCUGGAUGUCAUUAUUGAAAACUAUAAGUUAGUAUUUCAGUGUUGUACACUCUAUAAUAAGUAACAUUUGGACUUUAAAACAGACAUAUGUUUGUACUUAUUUUUCAUGACGAACAUCACAAAAUUACCCGAAUUCAAUAAACAAAUGCAAAGUCUUGAAUUGAAUUCAUAAAGAUUUAGGAUUUAUGGAUGGGACCUUUGUCAGAUUCUGUCUCAUGCUUGGUUUUAAAAUGAUCAUAGGAAGCCAAGAUAAUAAUCAUUAAAAAAAGUUUGACUUCUUAUAGCUGAAUCUGUCUGUCAUCUGUCCGGUUGAUUCUCCUCAAUUUAAAAUUGCCGUAGAGACAAUUACUGUGGGCUCCUUCUAAUUAGAAGAACUGAAAUCUAUGAGAACGUGGUAUGAAUUAUUGAGUUCCUUUUCCAGGAAGGGUCGCUGUUAAAACAAAUACUUUUUGUUAGACCUUUUGUCAGUGUGUUGCUGAAGGUCUGAAUGGAAAAGAAUACAGGUGUGUGUCUCCCUCUGGUGGUGCUAAAAAAAUCUAAUUUGUAUGUUUCAAAAUGGCGGUGGUAACAAGCUUUUUCUGGUGGAUACCAUUUGGUCUAAUGGCUCGGAUUUGGUGCCCUAAGGAAUUUUCCUAAGCCUUUUAAUUGAAGCCAAACAUUAGAUCUCUUUGAAGUUUUUGAUCGAAUAAUACGGAUGUUUUUAAAGUAUUCGACAAAUCAAGCUCUAACAUUUAAUUCAAGCCAAACUGCAGAUGUUUUUAAUGUAUUCGACUUAAACUAUGACUUCAUUUGCAUAAUUGUGUCCCUGAUUGUCUAGUGGCUAGGAUUUGGUGCUUUCACCGCUGUGGCCCGGGUUCAAUUUCCGGUCAGGGAAGUCAGAUAUAAAGUGUUAAAUUCCUGGUCAGGGAAUUCAAGCUUUAACUUUUAAUUCAAGCCAAACUGCAGAUGUUUUUAAUGUAUUCGACUUAAACUAUGACUUCAUUUGCAUAAUUGUGUCCCUGAUGGUCUAGUGGCUAGGAUUUGGCGCUUUCACCGCCGCGGCCCGGGUUCAAUUCCCGGUCACGGAAAUGAGAUUUAGAGUUUGGAAUUCCAGAUCCAACUUUUAAUUCAAGCCAAAUUGCAGAUGUUAUGGAAUUCCAGAUCCAACUUUUAAUUCAAGCCAAACUGCAGAUGUUUUUAAAGUUUUCGACUUAAAUUAAGACUUCAUUAGCAUAAUCAUGUCCCUGAUGGUCUAGUGGCUAGGAUUCGGCGCUCUCACCGCCGCGGCCCGGGUUCAAUUUCCGGUCAGGGAAGUCAGAUAUAAAGUGUUAAAUUCCUGGUCAGGGAAUUCAAGCUUUAACUUUUAAUUCAAGCCAAACUGCAGAUGUUUUUAAAGCAUUCGACUUAAACUAUGACUUCAUUUGCAUAAUUGUGUCCCUGAGGGUCUAGUGGCUAGGAUUUGGCGCUUUCACCGCUGUGGCCAGGGUUCAAUUUCCGGUCAGGGAAGUCAGAUAUAAAGUGUUAAAUUCCUGGUCAGGGAAUUCCAGCUUUAACUUUUAAUUCAAGCCAAACUGCAGAUUUUUUUAAUGUAUUCGACUUAAACUAUGACUUCAUUUGCAUAAUUGUGUCCCUGAGGGUCUAGUGGCUAGGAUUUGGCGCUUUCACCGCUGUGGCCCGGGUUCAAUUUCCGGUCAGGGAAGUCAGAUAUAAAGUGUUAAAUUCCUGGUCAGGGAAUUCAAGCUUUAACUUUUAAUUCAAGCCAAACUGCAGAUGUUUUUAAAGUUUUCGACUUAAAUUAAGACUUCAUUAGCAUAAUCAUGUCCCUGAUGGUCUAGUGGCUAGGAUUCGGCGCUCUCACCGCCGCGGCCCGGGUUCAAUUCCCGCUCAGGGAAAUGAGAUUUAGAGUUUGGAAUUCCAGAUCCAAGGGCGGCACGGUGGCGUGGUGGUUAGCACUGUCGCCUCACAGCAAGAAGGUCCUGGGUUCGAUUCUGCCCAGAGGCCUUUCUGUGUGGAGUCUGCAUGUUCUCCCCGUGUCUGCGUGGGUUCUCUCCGGCUUCCUCCCGCAGUCCAAAGACAUGCUCUGGGGAUCAGGUUAAUUGGGGACUUUAAAUUGCCCGUAGAUGUGUGAAUGUGAGUGUGAAUGGUUGUCUGUCUCUGUGUGGCCCUGCGAUUGGCUGGCGACCAAUCCAGGAUGUACCCUGUCUAUCGCCCGAAGUUGGCUGGGAUGGACUCCAGCCCCCCCGCGACCCUGUGUGCAGGAUAAGCGGUUUGACAAUGGAUGGAUGGAUGGAAUUCCAGAUCCAACUUUUAAUUCAAGCCAAACUACAGAUGUUUUUAAAGCAUUCGACUUAAACUAUGACUCCAUUUGCAUAAUUGUGUCCCUGAGGGUCUAGUGGCUAGGAUUUGGCGCUUUCACAGCUGUGGCCCGGGUUCAAUUUCCGGUCAGGGAAAUCAGAUAUAAAGUGUUAAAUUCCUAGUCAGGGAAUUGAAGCUCUAAAUUUUAAUUCAAGCCAAACUACAGAUGUUUUUAAAGCAUUCGACUUAAACUAUGACUCCAUUUGCAUAAUUGUGUCCCUGAUGGUCUAGUGGCUAGGAUUUGGCGCUUUCACAAAUGUGGCCCGGGUUCAAUUUCCGGUCAGGGAAGUCAGAUAUAAAGUGUUAAAUUCCUGGUCAGGGAAUUCAAGCUUUAACUUUUAAUUCAAGCCAAACUGCAGAUGUUUUUAAUGUAUUCGACUUAAACUAUGACUUCAUUUGCAUAAUUGUGUUCCUGAUGGUCUAGUGGCUAGGAUUUGGCGCUCUCACCGCCGCGGCCCGGGUUCAAUUCCCGGUCAGGGAAAUGAGAUUUAGAGUUUGGAAUUCCAGAUCCAACUUUUAAUUCAAGCCAAACUGCAGAUGUUUUUUAAGUUUUUGACUUAAACUAUGACUUCAUUUGCAUAAUCAUGUCCCUGAUGGUCUAGUGGCUAGGAUUCGGCGCUCUCACCGCCGCGGCCCGGGUUCAAUUCCCGGUCAGGGAAAUGAGAUUUAGAGUUUGGAAUUCCAGAUCCAACUUUUAAUUCAAGCCAAACUGCAGAUGUUUUUUAAGUUUUUGACUUAAACUAUGACUUCAUUUGCAUAAUCAUGUCCCUGAUGGUCUAGUGGCUAGGAUUCGGCGCUCUCACCGCCGCGGCCCGGGUUCAAUUCCCGGUCAGGGAAAUGAGAUUUAGAGUUUGGAAUUGCAGAUCCAACUUUUAAUUCAAGCCAAACUACAGAUGUUUUUAAAGCAUUCGACUUAAACUAUGACUUCAUUUGCAUAAUUGUGUCCCUGACGGUCUAUCGGCUAGGAUUCGGCGCUCUCACCGCCGCGGCCCGGGUUCAAUUCCCGGUCAGGGAAAUGAGAUUUAGAGUUUGGGAAUUCCAGAUCCAACUUUU
ensembl:lncRNA